rnacentral:lncRNA from 1 species
AUUUAUUUUAUUUUAUGUAGUGAAAAGGGCAAAAUGGUUAAGUGAUUAUCAGAACUCCAUAAGCAAAUCUAAAGAAUCUUGAAAUUCCGAUCAGUCUUGUUGUUUUCCGGCAGGAUUUGGUUGCAAAAGCCCAAUUGCUUCUUCUUCGAGUAUUUGGAAUCUAGAAGAGUGUGCGUCUGGUUUGAGAGCUUAAUGGCAUCCGUUGCGUUUUUAUCUAUUUUUGGGUGUUCGAUAAAUAUAGAUUUAAUGGAGAUAUUCUGCUUACAUUUAGUUUUAAAGUUUUUAUUUGGAUUAUACGUUUUUUAUCACGUUAAAAACAGUUAUUAAUUGAUAACACCGAUGUAAUAAGCUCAGAUUGAUGAACUAAAAACAAACAAACAAACUUACAUUACAUAAAAUCAUCAAUUAAUGAUCACAUUUUGAAAUAGAGAAAAUGUUCGAAUGCCCCCGCUAAUUUAUAUUCAAAUUUUCAACUAUACAUUUAUAUUUUAUAGGUGUCCUAUUAUCCCCUUAAACUAUUUUAAAGCGAAAUAAAUGCACUCCUAAGUGCUCACAUGACACAGAUUAUUAAAAUACUUUUUCAUAAUUUGUAUCACUAUUACUGACAACCGUUAACCAUCAAAUAUCAC